CGGAUAAUCGGUGCUGAUCUGUCAUUUGUUACUGUGGGUCUGAGUUUCACCGUUGCAAAGGGGUUUUCUCCACUGAAAAGAAAUGCAUGAAGUUACUUGAAGGCUUUCUGCAGUCUAACCCCGAAUUUAUUCACUCAGGUCCUUCAUCCAAGCUGCUGUCAAACAGUAAGUUAUGGCUCAGACGUGGGGAUUCUGUGCAACUCUUAAAAUUCAAGUUUAACUUGAAUUUUUAAAAUGAGGUUGCACAUGAAGAAUCACUUUUCAGUGAGCCAAAAGUUUGGGAAGUUAAUGCCCAAUUACAUCUGGGCUUUUAAAAAUAGCUCCCAGUCUUCAAAGAUUUUUGCCUUUAACCCUCAACGUCAGUUAAAGAAAGGUUUUAAGUCCUGUUCUCUGUCAAGCUACUAGAGAAACAUAUUUUUCUGAGAAGGGCCUGUGUACUGCACUUGAUGCCAAUCUUGAGAAAAGUGCAACUAAUUUUAGCCAUAUUGUUCUAGCCUGGGAAAGGUCUUGGAGAAAUUAAGGAUAAACAUCCUUAUUUCCCCUUAUAAUCAUUAAAAUAAAAUAAGUCAAUAAAAAACUGCAACAAAAUCAGUGGAAAAGUAUUUUACCUUAGAAAAGGUGGUUUUAUAAUGCCAUUCAUGUCAGGUUUCUGUAAAAAAAAAAAAAGAAGGUAUUUACAUGAACUUGUAGAAAUAUGCUACAGGUGAUCCCGCUGUCCUGCUAAGGGAAAGAGACUCUGUAAUUUAAUCUGUAUGGCCAGUUUGGUUUUAAUACUUCCAAUUUCCAUGCUGAACCAAAGCCUGUCAGGCUUUCCAUUCCAGGCACGCUGUGUUUCAGGACCUCAUUCAGCAGGUUUUUAACUCAUGCUGGGCUUGUGAUUCUAAUGAAAUUGCUCAAGUACAUCAGCUGUAAAUAGACUUAGACCUUAGAAUUAGGCCUAAUUAGCCCUUUAAAUGAAGAAAAAUGAACAAAUGCCUGAAUUAAAUCUUACUCAACACCAACCCUCCUCAAAGCUAUGUCAACUACUAAGUCUUUUAGAGUGGAUACUUUUGUGCAUAUUACUGUCCUGUGCAGCACAGCAUGAACAGUUUAAUAGGCAAGAACCAUUCCUCAUCUUUCCUUUUUGAAAUCCUGAGCUAUUUUUUCUGUGUAUUCUGAAACAAAAGUAAGAUGCCUUGAAUAAUUUCCUGCUUCUGCACAGGAGGCCCAGUGAACAGACUGUUUUACACAUCUGUAAAUCCUGUAUGAAUGUACAAGCCAGCUCAGUAUAAUGUUGGGCUUAUUUCCAAAGCCUGUGGAGGUGUGGGGGUUGGGGACUUGCACGGAAGCAGGAAAGACAAGGAAGUUCUGCAAGAAUGAAAAUAAAUAGUGACUUUGGAACAAAACACGUGGUUUCAAGUGCAGCAGCUCUCCUCUGGAGUUGUCCUAAGAUGGGGUCACAGCAGCUGCUGUGAGUUAGGAGGUGCCUCAACAAAAGUGGUCAUUGUUCUACACUCCAGAAAUUCUAAUUUAUUUUAGUCUUGCUUUCCCUGUGGAAAUUCAGAUUAUCAAAAAAGAUGUAUUUGUUUUUCACUCCUAGGAGCUAUCAGUUUCCAUUCUGGCCUCCAAAGAGAUUGUACUGCUCCAAUUAGAGCUCUGCCAACUGACUGAUCUGCCAUUCCUCUUCGGUUUCUGGUUCAACAGGAAUGAUGGAUGGACUGAAAUGCCAAAGCCCCUGAAAUUCCUGGAGACAGCUGGGUCCAAGGCUGAAGUCAAGCACAGGCAGGUGAGGUAGGAGAUCCCAGUCCCUCAUUUAAGAGCCCAUCCAAGCAGGGUGGAAUGUUUGGAUUCCCUGCCCCGGGCACUCACCGGGCCUGCCUGCUCCGCUCUGUCGGUCGGAGUUUUCACAGCAGCACCUUUGGCAGGCUCCAUCCGUCUGUCUGUUUGUGCAGCCCCCAGGUAGUCUGGUGGUGGGAGGACAACUUCUCCUUUCUCCACAAGGUUCACAGAGCUCACACUUCGGAUUGGUGCAGGGCUGCAAGACAGAACCCAACAAAUACCAUUGUCAGAUGCCAGAACCCAUCUCGCACUGCUCUUCAGCACCAGGAAAGCACAGAAGUCAAUAAUGGGGUGCAAUGUCCUGGAGCCAGUGGGACUGAGUUAAGGCUGUUCUGAAACUACUCCUUGGGUCUGUGUGUAACCAUUAAAAUACUUCAUUAACAUAAUUAAAGCAUUUUACUGCA